CUGGAUCUCCCGCAGCGCUUAGAACAGUGCUCUGCACACAGUAAGCGCUUCACAAAUACCAACAUUAUUAUUAUUAUUAAGCACUUAAUAAAUGCCACUAUUACCGUUAGGGAGGAUGAUGGGACAGUGAGGGGAUUCCGGGCCCUGCUGUGCGCUAAGCACUGGACUGAACGUUUGAGAGGAAGCAGUAGAGUUCAAAGACAAGACUCCCCGCUUACGAGAAACUUCAUUUGAGGUCAACCUCCCUCCUGCCUCCUCAGUUGGAUCCUUCUUUGGGCCGGAAAGCAAGUGAUUUUGACGCACGGAGAGCAAAGCCCUAAUCUUAUUUUAGUCAUUCGUUAGUGAUAUUUCGAACCUGAUCAAAGCGGCUUUUAAAUGACAGUUUGCCAGCUCCGCUAAUCAGAAUCUCAAUAGAUUUUUUUUUUCCUUCCGAGGCCUGAUUUUUGUCCAAUUAAUUAUAGCAAGCAAAUAGACUGUGCUAUAAAGGGGGAUGACCACCGUUUCCUCCUUCUGAUGCGACAUCUGUAUGGGAUUCUCAUUAGCAGUGAAAAGGGAACAAAACACAGACUUGAAAAGCUACUUUUAAUCUAGGCAGGCUUUUCUCAUUAAGGUUGUUCAGUAGUAUUUAUGGAGCGCUUACUCUGUGCAGAGCACUGUACUAAGCGCUCGGAACCAACGAGUCGGCAACCGAUAGAGACGGUCCCACGGUCUCAUCGGGGGAGACGGGCCGAAGAGAACGGUGGCGAUAAAUAGAGUCGAGGGGAAGAACCUCCCGUAAAAACAGUGGCGACUCAAUAGAAUCGAGGCGACGUACAUUUCAUUAAUAAAAUAAAUCGGGUGACGGAUAAUAGGUCGAGAAAGUGGCAUCGGGAUAUUCAGUGGCCUGUUUCGGGCAGGACGCGUCUUCCCGGCGGACGGCUUUUUCCAAGUGUGAAGAGGCAGGGCCGAUCAGGAGUUAACGCACCUCACCUGCCCCAGAGUUUGGUCCUGGGGGGCAAUUGUGUCCAGGUGUGCCCCACCUGGACCCCACCCCGCAACCCCGCCCCGUUCCCGCCUCUCUCCCACGGUCCUGGCCCGCAGGGUCAGCGGACUCUCAAAGCCGCGGGUUGGCGGAGCCUUCCCGGCUCCCAGAAAAGAGAGAAAAACCCAGCCUGUCUUUGGAAGCGACGGUUUGGAACUCGUCUUUGGAGGAGGGAGGGAAAAGGGAAAAAAAAUCAUCCUCUCCCAGCCUCUAGACCGUCCCCGGCUGACCCCGCGAGAGACCGUCUGAAAAGGGUUUCCCCCCGCUCUCCCCAGCUAGAAACACAGCACGGCCCCUCGCCGCUUUUCCCACCGCUCACCAACGCCUCCCGGCCAGUCCGGCUUCUCGGCGCCGGUCGCGCGCCUCCCGGCCGCUCCCGCCGGUCCUCCUCGGUCGGAUUCCAGUGGGUCCCCCGAGGCCCACCCCUUCUCCGCAGCUUUCUCCACGACGAUCAGCACCCCCCGGCCGGCUCUCCUCCGGGUCCGGGAUUCCGUCGAGGGACCCCCGAUGCCCGGACUCGGGCUCCCGGGAACGCCCGACGUCCUGCCUCCCGGCCCUCCGGUGGCUCCGCUAGGCCCCGGGGAGGAGCCGGGGACUGGCCUUGGGCCCUUCCUGGCCCGGUCCGGCUUGGCUGAGAAGAAACUGUGGGACGGACGCUGCCUGCGGGGGCACGUGAAUUCCCUAAAAACUAAAGCACGUUGGGACUGUGUUGGAGUGAGAUGAGGCAUUCCAGGAAGCGGUCGUUGGUUCGUUCGUAUUUCUGGAGCGCUCACCGUGUGCAGAGCGCCGUACUUCGCACUGGGGAGAGAACAGUAUAACGGUAAGCGGACGCGUUCCCGUCGACGUCGCAGGGCGCCCAGGGGCCGGAGAGCCGAGGCGAUGGAAACCCCCUCGUCCCUGCCGUCGGACCACCCGGGUGGCGGGGUGGAAAACGAGCGUGAAAGUCGCCGGAGACCCGCCGUCCCCUCCCUUCGAGCGUGGCUGUUCUCCGAUCCCUCUUGUCACGUCCUCUUGGCAGACGCGCCCUCGGGGUGUCGGGACGGGCCCGUGGAACUCCUCCGUGUCUUGCCCUUUUCUUCGGAGCUUUUGAAUAUCAAUCACGAUGACCACGCUGGCGAUUAAGCGCUCCGUGCCACCGGGGUCGGUGGAACAUUAAUCCGACUCGAUUCUCCGCGGUCGGCCUUCCGUAAUUCUCUGCUCGGGGGAGGUAGGGCCGAAUUAAACGGCGGCCGGGGCGGCCUCGCUGGGAAGUCCGCGAGCUACUUGGAUUUGAAAGGAAGUAGAAGGGGGGAAGACUAGCCUACUCGGAGAGUUCUUGCGCAUUUUUAGAAAUCUCUCCCUUUGUACGGGGCGCUGGGGAGCAAGUGUGAGCGGCGGCGUGGGUUAGCGGGACGAGCUGGGGCCCGGGAGUCAGAGGACCUGUGUUCGGAUCCCGGCUCUGCCACUUGUCUACUGUGCCACCUUGGGCAAAUGGCUUCGCUUUCCUCACCCGUAAAAUGGGGAUCCAAUACGCGUUCCCUCCCUACUCAGAGGACCGUGAGCCCCACACGGGCCAGGGACCGCAUGCACCUGAUUAACUCGUACCUAGCUCAGUCCUGGACGCGCGAUAAGGGCUCAACAGCCAAUCUGCAGAGGCCACGGUGGUUUUAGGAUCCGUGAAGCGUCGGUGGGCUCCGUGGGUGCGGGCGGAGGGGUGCUGGAGGGCUCCCAGGGCGGUCUCUGAUCGCUCGGGAGAAGGUGACAGUGGUUCUGAGGAAGCUGGGAGCGUUUGGGGGCGGGGGGUGCUUUCCGAUCCUACCGCCUCUUUGCUCUUCUACGAGUGGUGAGGAUUUCGCGGAGAGCAAGUGCCCGUAAUCGGCCCGUGUCCUCGAGGACACCCCCGAGGGGGACGUCCACCUUCGGGGGUGCGGCUGCGAAUGAGUUUGGCUAAGAUGACUUUUGAUCCCCGUCAACACAAAUGGGAUCUACUGUCGUAGGUACGAGGAGACGAGACUCGGGCGGGGAGGUUUCGAUCCCACCGAGCGGGCAAGUGGCUCUGCAGCCGUUUCCCCUCCGGCUGGGCGGGGGAACCCGGGAGGAGCCCGGGAGCCGAGCCCCCUCCCCCCCGGCCCCUAAAUCGCCGUCCUUCGGGGCCUUACGGGUUUUUAGGCCGCGUGCUCCGCCGGAGGGGGAGAGGAGGCAGGAGAUGGACGCCCUGGAAGCAGCAGCACU
rnacentral:lncRNA from 1 species